rnacentral:rRNA from 1 species
CGCAUCUGUGCAUGCAGCAUAUAAUAAGCGGAGGAAAAGAAACUAACAAGGAUUCCCUUAGUAACGGCGAGUGAGGCGGGAAGAGCUCAAAUUUGAAAUCUUCAAGGUUUUACCUUGACGAAUUGUAGUUUAAAGAAGUGUUUUCUGCUGAAGUUUUGGUAAAAGUUCUUUGGAAUAGGACAUCAUAGAGGGUGAGAAUCCCGUAUUUGACCAUUAUUUUCAGCUUUGUGAUACACUUUCAAAGAGUCGGAUUGUUUGGGAAUGCAGUCCAAAAUGGGUGGUAAAUUUCAUCUAAAGCUAAAUAUUGGCGAGGGACCGAUAGCGAACAAGUACCGUGAGGGAAAGAUGAAAAGAACUUUGAAAAGAGAGUUAAACAGUACGUGAAAUUGUCAGAAGGGAAGCGUUUGACACCAGUGUUGUUUUCUCGAAAAUCAAUUAAAAAUGGCUCGAUUUUGUAUUGCUGAGACCUUAAAAGCUCACUGUACAUUUUUCGUGUCUUUCUUAAUGCACUUUUCGUUUAACAAGUCAACAUCAGUUUCUUUUGUUGUAAAAGGGUCAUUGGAAGGUGGCUUUCUUUUCGGAGAAAGUGUUUAUAGCCUUUGGCCUCUGCAAUCGGAGAGACUGAGGUCUGCAGCGUAGACUCUUCGGGGUUAGAUACAUUUGUGCUAAGUUAUAGCUUUUUAUAGACAACUUGUUGACUAUAAUUAGUCUUGUAGCUUACUCGCUUACGCUAUUUUACCUACGCUUAGGAUGUUGACGCAUGAGAUAUACGC